AUUGAACGCUGGCGGCAGGCUUAACGCAUGCAAGUCGAGCGGGGUGAUGGUGCUUGCACUAUCACUUAGCGGCGGACGGGUGAGUAAUGCUUAGGAAUCUGCCUAUUAGUGGGGGACAACAUCUCGAAAGGGAUGCUAAUACCGCAUACGUCCUACGGGAGAAAGCAGGGGAUCACUUGUGACCUUGCGCUAAUAGAUGAGCCUAAGUCGGAUUAGCUAGUUGGUGGGGUAAAGGCCUACCAAGGCGACGAUCUGUAGCGGGUCUGAGAGGAUGAUCCGCCACACUGGGACUGAGACACGGCCCAGACUCCUACGGGAGGCAGCAGUGGGGAAUAUUGGACAAUGGGGGGAACCCUGAUCCAGCCAUGCCGCGUGUGUGAAGAAGGCCUUAUGGUUGUAAAGCACUUUAAGCGAGGAGGAGGCUCUUUUGGUUAAUACCCAAGAUGAGUGGGCGUUACUCGCAGAAUAAGCACCGGCUAACUCUGUGCCAGCCGCCGCAGUAAGAC
rnacentral:rRNA from 1 species